rnacentral:sRNA from 1 species
GUUGCCUUCGAUAACCCAUUCCGACUAUUGAGGAAAGGACUACUUGAUGAGCCGAAUUCUAGUUGUGAUGAUUGCGUUGCUUUCUGUUGCCGGCCUCACCGCGUGUGAUACGAUCGGCAAGGGUAAGGGUAAGGCCCCGCCGCCUGCUGCCGUCGAUACGGUAGAACCGGCGCCGGUAUACAAGUAACAGUGACUUUGCGCCGUGGGAGAGCUCAACGACCGCCCUCCCACGGCGCGUUAUUCAGGCUAGACCGGCUGUGAGACUGACGGCAUAGUACGCGU